rnacentral:rRNA from 1 species
GUCCACGCCGUAAACGAUGAGUGCUAGGUGUCACGGGCUUUGACCCUCGUGGUGCCGAAGCUAACGCGUUAAGCACUCCGCCUGGGGAGUACGGCCGCAAGGCUAAAACUCAAAGGAAUUGACGGGGCCCGCACAAGCGGUGGAGCAUGUGGUUUAAUUCGACGCAACGCGCAAAACCUUACCUGGGCUAGAAAUGGCAGGAACCCGGUUGAAAGAUCGGGGUGCCCUUCGGGGAAUCUGUUGUUAGGUGCUGCAUGGCUGUCGU